CACUAAUUAAACAUAAAGCGAGUAGGAAUAAAAUGGCUAAGUCAUGCACUCUCGUUGCUCUCCUCUGCCUCUAUUUCCUCCUCCUUUCUUCAACUAAUUUGAAGGGGGUGGAAGCAGCAGGGGUAUGUCAAAGGUAUAGCGGUUCGUGGACGGGAAUUUGCAUGUCCACAAGCAACUGUAAUACCCAAUGCAUUGAAAGAGAAUCCGCUAAAUAUGGAGCUUGCCACUUUGAUGGCAAUGGUUCUGCUUGUUUCUGUUAUUUCGAUUGCUAGACAAGAUACAUAUAUAACCCGUAUGCGUUGUAUCCCUUCCCUUCCCUCUCCCCUUGGUUUCGUAUCGUUGUUUUGUGUUUUUCUUUUACGUUUCCUUGCGAAUAAUACACACUGCGAUGUGUAACAGCUGUAUCGUUAUAGGUUGGGCAUUUUGUGUUCGGUUUAUGCUACAUGACCACAUGAGUGUUAUUGAACUA